UACGUAGGGACCAAGCGUUGUUCGGAUUUACUGGGCGUAAAGGGCGCGUAGGCGGCGUGACAAGUCACUUGUGAAAUCUCUGAGCUUAACUCAGAACGGCCAAGUGAAACUGUUGUGCUAGAGUGCAGAGGGGGCAAUCGGAAUUCUUGGUGUAGCGGUGAAAUGCGUAGAUAUCAAGAGGAACACCUGAGGUGAAGACGGGUUGCUGGGCUGACACUGACGCUGAGGCGCGAAAGCGUGGGGAGCGAACAGG
rnacentral:rRNA from 1 species